rnacentral:rRNA from 1 species
GAUGAACGCUGGCGGCGUACCUAAUACAUGCAAGUCGAGCGAACGGACGAGAAGCUUGCUUCUCUGAUGUUAGCGGCGGACGGGUGAGUAACACGUGGAUAACCUACCUAUAAGACUGGGAUAACUUCGGGAAACCGGAGCUAAUACCGGAUAAUAUUUUGAACCGCAUGGUUCAAAAGUGAAAGACGGUCUUGCUGUCACUUAUAGAUGGAUCCGCGCUGCAUUAGCUAGUUGGUAAGGUAACGGCUUACCAAGGCAACGAUGCAUAGCCGACCUGAGAGGGUGAUCGGCCACACUGGAACUGAGACACGGUCCAGACUCCUACGGGAGGCAGCAGUAGGGAAUCUUCCGCAAUGGGCGAAAGCCUGACGGAGCAACGCCGCGUGAGUGAUGAAGGUCUUCGGAUCGUAAAACUCUGUUAUUAGGGAAGAACAUAUGUGUAAGUAACUGUGCACAUCUUGACGGUACCUAAUCAGAAAGCCACGGCUAACUACGUGCCAGCAGCCGCGGUAAUACGUANGUGGCAAGCGUUAUCCGAAUUAUUGGGCGUAAAGCGCGCGUAGCGGUUUUUUAAGUCUGAUGUGAAAGCCCACGGCUCAACCGUGGAGGGUCAUUGGAAACUGGAAAACUUGAGUGCAGAAGAGGAAAGUGGAAUUCCAUGUGUAGCGGUGAAAUGCGCAGAGAUAUGGAGGAACACCAGUGGCGAAGGCGACUUUCUGGUCUGUAACUGACGCUGAUGUGCGAAAGCGUGGGGAUCAAACAGGAUUAGAUACCCUGGUAGUCCACGCCGUAAACGAUGAGUGCUAAGUGUUAGGGGGUUUCCGCCCCUUAGUGCUGCAGCUAACGCAUUAAGCACUCCGCCUGGGGAGUACGACCGCAAGGUUGAAACUCAAAGGAAUUGACGGGGACCCGCACAAGCGGUGGAGCAUGUGGUUUAAUUCGAAGCAACGCGAAGAACCUUACCAAAUCUUGACAUCCUUUGACAACUCUAGAGAUAGAGCCUUCCCCUUCGGGGGACAAAGUGACAGGUGGUGCAUGGUUGUCGUCAGCUCGUGUCGUGAGAUGUUGGGUUAAGUCCCGCAACGAGCGCAACCCUUAAGCUUAGUUGCCAUCAUUAAGUUGGGCACUCUAAGUUGACUGCCGGUGACAAACCGGAGGAAGGUGGGGAUGACGUCAAAUCAUCAUGCCCCUUAUGAUUUGGGCUACACACGUGCUACAAUGGACAAUACAAAGGGCAGCGAAACCGCGAGGUCAAGCAAAUCCCAUAAAGUUGUUCUCAGUUCGGAUUGUAGUCUGCAACUCGACUACAUGAAGCUGGAAUCGCUAGUAAUCGUAGAUCAGCAUGCUACGGUGAAUACGUUCCCGGGUCU